rnacentral:rRNA from 1 species
GACAGAAGGUGCAAGCGUUACUCGGAAUUACUGGGCGUAAAGCGUCUGUAGGUUUUAACCACGUCUGGUGUGAAAUCGCGGAGCUCAACUCCGCGCCCACACUGGAAACGAGUUAGAUAGAGUCAUUCAGAGGCAUCUGGAAUGUCGUGUGUAGGGGUAAAAUCCGUAGAUACACGAAUGGAACGCCAAAAGUGAAGACAGGAUGCUAGGAAGUGCACUGACACUCAGAGACGAAAGCGUGGGGAGCAAAGGG